rnacentral:lncRNA from 1 species
UUGUUUCAGUAGAUUUCUGCACCACAUGACUAGUUUCAGAUUCGGUGGUGAAUUUUUUUUCUUUUGCAAUUGGGUUCUUGUUUCAAAAGGUUUUUAGAACACAUCUUUUGUUUCACAAAGAAAAAAAUGGUUUGAUGGUCAAGUUUUUUUUUUUUCGUAACAGGGUUUUGUUUCAGAAACAUAGUCCGAGUUGCAACACUGGAGGAGUGCCCGACAUUAGAGAGUGAGUGAUCAGACAUUGUAACAUGAGUCAUAUUUCAGAAACAUAACUUUAGUUAUAGAAAACGACGAAGGAGCGACUGGUGUGAGAGGUUGUCAUCGUCGUGAAAAUUUUCUGUAACAAGACCUAUUUUGUGGAAGUUUUGGCAACGCCAACUUUGUUGUGAUGGUGGAAGACAUAGCAUGACUGCACGAUUAUGCCAUAUCCGACGGCUAUAACCUGGCCGAUCCUUUAAAAAGAUCAUCCGACGGAUGCGUAGCACUGCCCAUAAAGUAUGUCCACC